UUUUUUUUCUUUAGAUUUCCUAGUAUGGACUGAGGCUCAGCAAACAUGCUGUGAUUCUCCCUGUUUGCUGCUUAGUGCCACUGUGCAGCCAGUGCAGGUCACAUGCCUUUGUUCCCUAUAUAGAGGUAAAUCUGUGCUAUGUUAUGACAAAUCCGAGAGGAAUUUCACUUUUGCUUCAUCUGGUAAAUGAGCAAACACCUUGCUCUGACCAGUGCUUGCAAGGAGCACGUCCCUGGGUCUCCUCUACUCCUGGUGCUGUCCUUGUGGGAUGCCCUGUGUUUUACAGCAGAGAACAGGUCCUGGUUGCAGGAACCUGCCAAACCCUGCUAAGUGCAGGGGCCCUUGUAUGUGCUGCAGGACAUCACAUGCUGCUGAAAGGCUGCUUCUGCAAGGUAGCAGCCCAUAGUAGAACAAGCAGAGCCAAGCUGUCUACCUUCCUGAAAAGGAACAACUAGUGUCACAGAAACACAGGCUGGGUGAGAUUGGCAGGCACGUCUGUGUGCAUCUGGCCCAACCCCUGCUCAAGCAGGGACACCCAGAGCAGGACCACAUCCAGAGUGAAGAUAUCUAAGGAGGAGAUUCCACAGUCUCUGGGCAACCUGUGGCAGUGCUCUGUCACCUGCACAGCACAGAAGUACUUCCUGGUGCUCAGAGGGAAUGCCCUGUGUUUCACUUUGUGCCCAUCACCUCUUGUCCUGGCACUGGACACCACAGAAAUGAAGCUGGCUCUGUUCUCUUUGCCUCCUCCUUUCAGGUAUGUAUAAGCAUUGAUGUGAUCCCCCCCUGAGCCUCCUUUUCUCCAAGCUGAGCAGUCGCAGCUCUCUCAGCUCCUCCUCACAGGAGAGUGCUGCAGCCACUUCAUCUCUGUGGCCUUGGACACUCUAGUAUGUCAGUGUCUCUUCUGUAGUGAGGGGCCCCCGGAUGAACACAGGACUCCAGAUGUGGCUUCACCAGUGCUGAGGGGAAGGAACCUCCCUCACUCUGCUGGUGAUACCUUGCCUAAUGCAGCCCACAGAACCACAAGCCUUCUUAGUGACAAGGGUACACUGCUGACUUAUGUUCAGCCUGGUGUCCACCGAGUUCAUGGAGAAUCUGUGGGAUUUUUAGCUGCUAAAUAUUACACUGCAUGUACUGCUGAAUGUAUGUGAACUGAUUGUUUUUGUUGUUUUUUUUUUUUUUUUGCCCAGAGGGAUCUUGUACAAAUCUCAUGGUUGUUGCAGCGAAAGGCACAUCGGUGGUCUUUCUGCUAAGCAGCUCCCUUUGCUGAAAGGACUUUUUCCAAAGCAAGUGGUCUGGAUAGCAAGAUUACUGUGUGACUUUUCCGUGUACUGCAUACCAUAUUCUCUGGCAAACACAUUAUCAGAAAGAGGUGAUCAUUUUAGCUGAUGCUUUCUUGAAAAUAUCUGAAUCUGAGUCAGAAUCAUGAGGUAGAAAACAUCUCUGGUGAGAUUGAGAGCAAGUAGAAACUAGAUCUCACAGAAGGCGGUGCUGAGCCAGCUUGUGAUAGAGAUUAUCGGCUCUUCUCAUCAUUUGUGAUGACAGAAGGAGAAAAGGCUCCCUUUGCUUCUGAGAGAGAUUAAAAAUGUGAAGAAAGAGGUUAUGUUUUCAGUUGGAGGGAAUUUCAGCUGAGAAAGAUGAGCAGGGAAGCACACAAAGGUCAGAAUCCUUUAGCAUUUGGGUAUCAGUGUGAGGGAAGAAGAGACUCUUGCAGGAUUUACUGUGUUUCUGCAGAAGCUAGGAAGUGCCAAAUAGUUUUGUUUCUGGCUUCGCUUAUAUCUGUUGUGUCCUCUCAUCUUUUCCUCUAUUCAGUUUCCAGCCCUGGGAUUAAUUCAUGGUGUAGAGUAGAGCUUCCUUGGUCUUGCAGGGGUCCUGUAGGAGAUGAAGAGAAAGGAAGGCUGAGACAAAACCUACAUCAUCCGGCCACAUCUGCAUUGGACCCAAGGCUGGGUGAACCACAUCUGUAUGGCUUCAGGCUGAAAACCGAAGACAUUUAAAAGGUCUCAACCAAGUGAGCCCACUAAACUGAUUUUGAGUUCAGGUGGAAGAGAGCUCAGACCUGUUCCAGCGUACCAGCAGCUCGAGCAGGUUACAAAACGUUGGUGCCUUUAAGCGUGGAUUUUAAUGGCUUUUAACUUCCUCCUCAACCAGGCAAUGAUUGCCAUGAGUGGAAAGACAUCCCUGUGGAGAUUACUGAGAUGUGUUUGGAGCACGCCUUCAUGCCCAUGCAGUUUCGACAGAGCCUAUCACCAUGCAUGGGCUGAGGGAUGCAGUGAGGAGCUCUGGGCUACGACCAGCCGGGCUUUUCUUAGAUGAAACAAGCAUCCAACAUCAGGCAGGCAAACCCAGCUCCAUCCAAAAAAACCCAGCACUGCAUGGAACAAGGUGGUGGAUGUGCAGGCAGCAGGAUUACCAGCGUCAUCCUGCCAGCUGGGGCUGCAAGGAGCGUGUGCCAGGAAGGAGGCCAAGGUUUCACAUUCCCUUAUGUCUAAAAGUCUUUACCAAGCACAAUGGUAUCUGGAGAAACCUCUCAUAGAAAGGCUGAAGAUGUCCUGACAGCAUUUCCUUGCCUUUGGGAGUUCGUGAAAGGUAUGCCAGAGUCCCGCUCCAGCUCAUUCUGCUUUCUGUUUACUUUCUGAUGGCCUGCAGAGUGUUUGAUAUGUGUCCACAAACUUCCUAAUUCACCACAGUAUGUCUGUUUGCCAAGAUUUACUUGACCCGAAUUCUUUUGAUAACAAUUGUUUGUGACAAUUUUAACACAGGUUGUACAGAAGGAGAUAGCUGGUUUAAUAGAUGCUGUGACCUGGACAUUCAUGCUUUACCAUUUUGUUACCAACAGUAAGCUCAUGGGAUUUUUUUCCCCCAAUUUAUUUAUUUUUAAUCUUAGCUAAUUAUUAUCCAACGAUAUAUUUUCUCACAGCUGGAAGAUUGAGCUGUUGUAUAUAUGUCCUAAAUUGCUAACUUACCUUUUGGUAUUCAGCAUAAUGUCUCUUCAGAAAGGCAUUUGAGUCUAAAGACAGUUGUGCUUCUCAUUGCUCUGCCACAUAACAGCGAGUCACUCAUUGCAUUCAGUCAUCAGCUCUUAACUGCAAUUGUUGCUGUGAAAGAGGCAGAAAAAAUAUGUUACCUGGUGCGACUGCUCACUACAAUUUUUCUAUUGGGUAUUCUAAAUACAUUCUGCUUAUAUUUCCUUUAUCCUUGGUCUGAUUCAUUAAAUAAGUCACUUUCAUAUUCUAUUUGUUCCUUUUUCUAUGGAGAGAUGUCAGAUGUUUCAUUCUUUUUACUGAAGAUCAGUAACACUUUUCUAAUGUAUUUCAUGAUUUGAAAAAAGAAAUCUGGCUAAAAUAGUUAAAGCACAACAGUUUUAAU
ensembl:lncRNA